CUCCAAAAGGUCUUGUCAGUGCCAGCGUUUGAAUUUCUGUAUGUGAAGUGUUCCAAUUUAGCCGACAGACACUCUGGCUGAUUACUGGGUGUCAAUUUACGCAUUUAGAAAAAGUAACCUUAGACGGUGAAACUUCAACCCAGGAUUUAUCCAACCAUUCAUGAGGAUCUCUCUUCGACGUCAUUAAAUUGUGGUCUGCAAUUUGUCGAAUUGUUAAAGCUGUCUCUUCUACUCCUGGGGCAAUUAUAAGCUAAAAAAAAUGCAUAUGUUAGAUUGUAGGAGAAUAUUAAGGAGUGAGAUGUAGCAUUCAGAAAUAGUUUGAGAUUAAAGGAAAAAAAUCUAA